UACGGGGGGGGCAAGCGUUGUUCGGAAUUACUGGGCGUAAAGGGCUCGUAGGCGGCCGACUAAGUCAGACGUGAAAUCCCCCGGCUUAACUGGGCGGGGUCAGCGGAUACGGCAGAGCUUGAGCAAGCUAGGGGGCAAUGGAAUUCCCGGUGUAGUGGUGGAAUGCGUAGAUAUCGGGAGGAACACCAGUGGCGAAGGCGGUUGCCUGGGGCUUUGCUGACGCUGAUGCGCGAAAGCGUGGGGAGCGAUCCGG
rnacentral:rRNA from 1 species